GAUGAACGCUAGCUACAGGCUUAACACAUGCAAGUCGAGGGGCAGCACAGUGUAGCAAUACAUGGGUGGCGACCGGCGCACGGGUGCGUAACGCGUAUCCAACCUUCCCGUUACUCAGGGAUAGCCUUCCGAAAGGGAGAUUAAUACCUGAUGGUGUUGAAAUUCCGCAUGUUAUUUCAACUAAAGAUUUAUCGGUAACGGAUGGGGAUGCGUGACAUUAGGUAGAUGGCGGGGUAACGGCCCACCAUGCCUACGAUGUCUAGGGGUUCUGAGAGGAAGGUCCCCCACACUGGAACUGAGACACGGUCCAGACUCCUACGGGAGGCAGCAGUGAGGAAUAUUGGUCAAUGGCCGAAGGCUGAACCAGCCAAGUAGCGUGAAGGAUGAAGGUUCUAUGGAUUGUAAACUUCUUUUAUACGGGAAUAAAACCUCCCACGUGUGGGAGCUUGUAUGUACCGUAUGAAUAGCAUCGGCUAACUCCGUG
rnacentral:rRNA from 1 species